rnacentral:rRNA from 1 species
UACGUAGGGUGCGAGCGUUACUCGGAAUUACUGGGCGUAAAGCCUGCGCAGGCGGCUUCGCAAGUCAGGCGUGAAAUCCCCGGGCUUAACCUGGGAAUGGCGUCUGAAACUACGGAGCUGGAGUGUGGCAGAGGGAGGUAGAAUUCCACGUGUAGCGGCGAAAUGCGUAGAUAUGUGGAGGAAUACCGAUGGCGAAGGCAGCCUCCUGGGCCAACACUGACGCUCAUGCACGAAAGUGUGGGGAGCAAACAGG